rnacentral:SRP_RNA from 1 species
CUGUGCUAACCGGGGAGAUAGCGGUGCCCUGUCGCCUGCAAUCCGCUUCAGCAGGGGUUAUGCCUUAACCGAGGCUUUUGUUUGUGCAGUCUGCCCGUUGUAAGUGGUGUUGAUGCCUGAGUCUUGCGCAAUAGGAACUUGUGAACCGUGUCAGAUCCGAAAGGAAGCAGCACUAAGCAACCAUUCUUAUGUGCCGUAAGGUCGCUUGGGCGGAGCUAACUGCUGCGGUAACGUGCGGAAAUGACUGUCGGAGUUGGGCGCACAG